AACAGCAGCUACCUCUCUGCAACUCUCACAUGGCCGCCCUCUGAAGCUAAGCAGGACUGCAACCGGUCAGGUCCUGGAUGGGAGACCACAUGGGAUAGCUAGGAUGCUGCCGGAA
rnacentral:rRNA from 1 species